GUACCAACUUCAGCAGCACAUAUACUAAAUUUGGAAGGAUUAAAAAAUGAGCAUGGCCCCUGCACAAGGAUGACACACAAAUUCAUGAAGCAUUCCAUAUUUUU